GUGGCCGUAUCCUCCCCACCAGGCUGGCUGCUUGUAAUUAAAACUGACCAUAAAAAAAACACUGUUCACCUCGACUCCCUAUUCCUCCUCUGCUUUCUCUCCUCCCCUCAUUUAUAACCUUUUCGUCCCUUUCUCCAUCUCCCAGCUUGAGUUCAGGGUGGGAGGAAAACAUGUGCUUGAGCUGUCAGGGCUGAAGCAGCAGAUUGGAGCUUAGUGUCGUGCUGUGUGGGGGAAACUGAGGCGAAGUGUAUGGCCUGCUGGGGGACACAGGGUGGGAGACCCAGGGGUCCAGCAGGAUCAUAACCCAUAUGGGAGGAAAGGCUGGUGCCGGCUCCAUCUCUGUGGCUGUGUCUGGAAGUCAUUUGUAAGCUGUGUUUCCUGUCUGGUAGUGAGAGAUGGAACGGUGAUGAUAAGCAUAUACAGCUUCGCUGCUGUAACAGUGGCACAGAUGCAGAACGUGCAUCAUGUUUCUAAUGGGACAAUUAGAGGAACAUUUGGAGCCAGAUGCCGUGAGUGUAUCCAUGAAUAUGAUACAGCCUCUAUCUAAUGAUAGAUUGAAGAGAGAGAGAAAUGAAUCUCACAUCUACUCACCACACUGUUUAGCUCUUUGAUGUAUUUGCACGAUUUGACAUUGAGCCUCUACAGUGACGACACGGCUAGACUCAAGGCCUUUGCCUUUGUUCAGUGCAGGUUUGUAUGAACAAAUGUUAACAAAUGGCACAGAGUUUGUCACGAAUGCAUGAAAUAGAUCUUAAGAAGUGCACACAUAAUACUAUAUCAGCCUAUAUCAGCCUUUUAUUCAAGUAUGCCUGCAGUUAUUCAGCAUAGGGCGCUGACCGUCUGAGAUAUAUUGCACACAAAAAUGGCUUUAAAAAGUUUGCAAGGUUAGCGGUGUUAAAGUUUUGAGCUAUUGAAUCACUAAUAGCAAAUAAACUAGUUAAAUUCCAUCUAGUAGUAGAACUGUACAUGCAAAUUUGUUUUGAGUUACAACUGAUAGAUGGUCUCUCAGUCUAGUUCUGUAGGCUACACAAUCA
ensembl:lncRNA